GGUUGAGUGAGGUGUGUGUACCUGGUUGUUGGGGCUGAGGUUGAGUGAGGUGUGUGUACCUGGUUGUUGGGGCUGAGGUUGAGUGAGGUGUGUGUACCUGGUUGUUGGGGCUGAGGUUGAGUGAGGGGUGUGUACCUGGUUGUUGGGGCUGAGGUUGAGUGAGGUGUGUAUACCUGGUUGUUGGGGCUGAGGUUGAGUGAGGGGUGUGUACCUGGUUGUUGGGGCUGAGGUUGAGUGAGGUGUGUAUACCUGGUUGUUGGGGCUGAGGUUGAGUGAGGGGUGUGUACCUGGUUGUUGGGG
ensembl:lncRNA